ACACCUCAACUCUCAUGGCUUGCCAUGAUGAGCUUGGACUUUGGGGGUCUUGCUGGCCUGUGGUCAGCUCCUCUCAAAUGAAUCAGCUUGCCAGUGUUUGGUGGCAUCACAGGUGUGAUAACUAUCUACGCUCGUGGUUUUCCAUCAUGUAACCUUCAGUGAUGAAGGUUCACUGGGGCUCAUAAAUGUCUCUCCUCAAUGAGGAGACAGCCCUUUGAAC
rnacentral:misc_RNA from 1 species